rnacentral:rRNA from 1 species
AUUGAACGCUGGCGGCAGGCCUAACACAUGCAAGUCGAACGAGUGGCGGACGGGUGAGUAAUGUCUGGGAAACUGCCCGAUGGAGGGGGAUAACUACUGGAAACGGUAGCUAAUACCGCAUACCAUCGGAUGUGCCCAGAUGGUAUUAGCUAGUAGGUGGGGUAACGGCUCACCUAGGCGACGAUCCCUAGCUGGUCUGAGAGGAUGACCGGCAAACCUGGACCUGAGAAACGGUCCAGCUUCCUCCGGGAGGAAGCGGUGGGGAAUAUUGCACAAUGGGGGCAAGCCUGAUGAAGCCAUGCCGCGGGUAUGAAGAAGGCCUUCGGGUUUUAAAGUACUUUCAGCGAGGAGGCGGUACUCGCAGAGGAAGGACCGGCUAACUCCGUGCCAGCAGCCGCGGUAAUAC